UACGAAGGGGGCUAGCGUUGCUCGGAAUGACUGGGCGUAAAGGGCGCGUAGGCGGUUUGUACAGUCAGAUGUGAAAUUCCCGGGCUCAACCUGGGGGCUGCAUUUGAUACGUAUGGACUUGAGUUCGGAAGAGGAGUGUGGAAUUCCCGGUGUAGCGGUGAAAUGCGCAGAUAUCGGGAAGAACACCCGUGGCGAAGGCGGCACUCUGGGACGGUACUGACGCUGAGACGCGAAAGCGUGGGGAGCGAACAGG
rnacentral:rRNA from 1 species